UGAAUACGAGACGCUAAGGCGUCGAAGUAGUGUAUGUCAUACUUCCAAGAAAAGCUUGCACUGUCAUAAAUAAAGAAUGCCUGUACCAUAACCGACACAGGUGGGUAGGUAGAGUAUACUAAGGGGCGCGAGAUAACUCUCUCUAAGGAACUCGGCAAAAUAACUCCGUAACUUCGGGAGAAGGAGUGCCUUAUUCUUAAGGUUGCAAUAACAAGAUCCAAGCAACUGUUUAUCAAAAACACAGGUCUCCGCUAAGUCGCAAGACGAUGUAUGGGGGCUGACGCCUGCCCAGUGCCAGAAGGUUAAAGAAGUUGGUUAGCUUUUGCGAAGCUGAUAACUGAAGCCCUGGUGAACGACGGCCGUAACAAUAACGGUCCUAGGGUAGCGAAAUUCCUUGUCGGGUAAGUUCCGACCCGCACGAAAGGCGUAAUGAUUUGGAUACUGUCUCGGAGAGGGGCUCGGUGAAAUAGACUUGUCUGUGAAGAUGCGGACUACCUGCACCAGGACAGGAAGACCCUAUGAAGCUUUACUGUAACUUGAAAUUGAAAUUGGACUUUAUUCGCGCAGUAUAGGUGGGAGGCGUUGAUUGUAAUCUUGCGGGAUUAUUGGAGCCAUCAGUGAGAUACCACUCUUGUAAUGUUAGAUUUCUAACUUUGUAUCAUUAUCUGGUCAAAGAACAGUUUCAGGCGGGCAGUUUGACUGGGGCGGUCGCCUCCUAAACGGUAACGGAGGCGUACAAAGGUUUCCUCUGAACGGUUAGAAAUCGUAUCUAGAGUGUAAAGGCAUAAGGAAGCUUGACUGUGAGACCUACAAGUCGAGCAGGGACGAAAGUCGGUCUUAGUGAUCUGACGGUACUGAGUGGAAAGGCCGUCACUCAACGGAUAAAAGUUACUCUAGGAUAACAGGCUGAUCUCCCCCAAGAGUUCACAUCGACGGGGAGGUUUGGCACCUCGAUGUCGGCUCAUCGCAUCCUGGGGCGGUAGUACGUCCCAAAGGUUGGGCUGUUCGCCCAUGAAAGCGGUACGCGAGCUGGGUUCAGAACGUCGUGAGACAGUUCGGUCCAUAUCCGGUGUAGGCGUUAGAAUAUUGAGAGGAGCCUUCUUUAGUACGAGAGGACCGAGAAGGACAUACCUCUGGUGUACCAGUUAUCGUGCCAACGGUAAACGCUGGGUAGCUAUGUAUGGAGUGGAUAACCGCUGAAAGCAUCUAAGUGGGAAGCCCACCUCAAGAUAAGUA
rnacentral:rRNA from 1 species